rnacentral:rRNA from 1 species
UACGUAGGGUGCGAGCGUUAAUCGGAAUUACUGGGCGUAAAGCGUGCGCAGGCGGUUUUGUAAGCCAGAUGUGAAAUCCCCGGGCUUAACCUGGGAACUGCGUUUGAAACUACAAGGCUAGAGUGUGGCAGAGGGGGGUGGAAUUCCACGUGUAGCAGUGAAAUGCGUAGAGAUGUGGAGGAACACCGAUGGCGAAGGCAGUCCCCUGGGCCUGUACUGACGCUCAUGCACGAAAGCGUGGGGAGCAAACAGG